rnacentral:lncRNA from 1 species
CAGCUAUCAUCGGCUGGGGGGGUUGGGGGUGGGAGGGGAGGGAGGAAAAGAAAAUGAUUUUUGUAUUCAAUGAAUAAUGUUUGAAAUUGACCAAAUAAAAUAUUUAAAUUGAAAAAAAAAAGAAACAGUUCACCUAAAAAAAAAAGAAGGCGGUGAUCUCCUUGAGGAUAGUGGUGGAUUUUUGCCCUUUUUGGAGGCAUGAUAUCCCCAGCACUUAGCACAGUGCUUAAUACUCAUUUAUAAUAAAUGCUUGUUGUCUGACCAACUGAUUGGAAUAAUAAUAAUAGCUAACAUUUUAUAUAUGUUUCAUACAUAGCUCACAAUUUAUAUAUAACAUAGUAUAUAAUAAUAAAAAUAGCUAACCUUUAAAGCACUUUGUCUACAUUUUCCCAUUUAAUUCUGUUUGAGGAGACCUUGUAUAUAAUUAGAUUUUGAACCCCAGGACUCUAAAUCCAGUUUCCCAUGUUCCUUCUCACAUUAUAAAGUUUGUAUGUGACCCCUCCCCUCUCUCUUUUCCUGUGACCGCAGCUGGGAAAACUUCUCUUUACUCAGGCUUUUACUUUUGUCCUUUUAUUUCUUCUACUUCAAGUGAUUAUUAAUAAAUCUUAUAAAAUACAAUACUUGGAGUUAUUGGAUAUUAAUUUAAAUGUUACACUUGCAAGAUCGCUUGAUAGUGUAUACCUUCCUGUUUCCAAUAAGCCUGGAUCUAGGUUAGCAUGAAAGAAAUCUGCCUCCUUUAUCUUUACAAAAAUUCUAGAUGCAGAGUGAAAUAAGCAGAACUGGGAGAACACUGUAUACGGUAACAGCAAUAUUGGACCAUGAUUAUCUGUGAAAACUUGACUGCUCUCAGCAGUGCAACAAUCUGGGACAAUCCUGAAAGGCUCAUGAUGAAGAAUGUUCUCCACCUCCAGAGAAAGAACUGUUGGCGUCGUCUUUCACAUCAUUGUAUGACCCAUAUGGAAGGAGGCUCCUCACAGGCGGUGCCCAUGAUGUAGUCCUGCUAGAUCAGCGUUUGCUACUGGGGUUCUUCCUUUUGAGAAGAUGGGAGCAGCUGUGGCAUUCCUCCCAGUAGAGGGCAUCAAUGUCCACUGGCACAAGCUGGUCUAAUAACUCCAUUUUAAGAGAGCAAGCAGCCUUGCCAAGCAGGCUCCAAUUGAUCAUUGGUGUGUGUUUCAUAUAAUAUUAAUUGUUUUAACCUCUCGUGGUUUAAGCAGGUUUAUUGGCAGCACUGUGGAGUGCUGAGGCUCCAUAGGGGCUAGUACAUAGAACCUGUUUCAGGAGUGAGACAAUGGGCUGGAUUUAGAACUAAAAAAAGAAAAAAGAAAAAAAAGGAAAGAAAAAGAAAAGGAAAAUAAAUUCCUCCAAGGUGGUAAUUAGUUCCCA